AUGCUCAAGAAAUUUUAUUGGGGAUUUAAGGAUGGCAUGUAUAAAACUGUGUGGGUCUCAUGGGAGGAUGUGAUAAUGCCAAAGUAUAUAGGCGGUUGGGGUUUUUGUAACACCGAGCUCUUUAGCUCGACCAUGUUGGCGAAGCAUAGAUGGAAAAUUCUACAAGAGCCCGAGUCACUUAGUGCGAAGAUAUUGAAAGUUUUUUCUUACCCCUUUGCAUAUAUUUUUGAUUUAGAGCUUGACAACGACCCUACGCAGGUGUGGUGCUCUAUUCAUGUGGGGAUUUCAGGACUUAAACAUGGAUUAAUUCAAAGAAUUAGUGAUGAAGAGUCAGCAAAUAUGUGGAAUCAUAACUUGCUACCAUGCAAUAAUAUGAUGUGGGCUUUAUAA
rnacentral:rRNA from 1 species